AAAUUAGAAAUCUGCUGUCCACCGGCUCAAGCCGCAGACUAGCCUUCUCAGGAAAGAAUCGUGGAGGCAUCAACGUUUCUCCCUAUACGCGCAAAGGGCGACCUGGGGAAAUUGAAGAGCUGGGGAAUGGGGGCGGGGUCUUACCAUCUGCAGAGCAGCGAUAAAUCAGGCGGCUGUGCAGCAAUUUCACUGGCUGUCGGUGGCUGCAAAAGGAGGGUUCCGCGUCUGCAGAUGCUCAGGUGGGUGGGGUACUUUUCGUUAAGCCCAGCCUGCUGCUAGGGUCUCAGCGGUGAUGACAUUACCACCAGCGGCACCCUCACAUCCAGCUUCAGUUUACGUUGUCAGUAUCCAAACAAGGACUCACUAGAAGAGUUGCUGCAUUUCCAGUGUAUGACUGAGGAGGCAGCCUCCCAACCAGGAACACCAACCGUCCCAGCCAGCAUGCCCCACAGUGUCCCUCUGGAACUGAAAAUUCAGGACAACAGAGGCUGACACACAUGAAGAUACUGAGGAAAGACAUAGGAGGAAGACCUUCAAACACAAGUAUUCAAAGAAUAUGAAUGAUGAAUAUAUGUAUAUAUAUACUGUAUAAUAUAGCUUUACUCCACCUUUUCAACCUAUCAACACUAUUUAUUUUUAUUGAGAGUGAAGUGUAAGUAAGAAUACCACUCUGUUUGUGAACUACAGAAAAUAAAAAAAAUAAGCCAGAAGUCUGCUAUGACAAGCAAAGGGAACUUGGCCAGAUUCUCAAAGAAAGAAAAAAAUGCGUUUCUCUUGUUAUCCAUUACCUCUGUCGCCUGUAUCCAGUAGAAGUCUCUUCCCAAAUGAUUUCCUGGGUGUGGCAGUCCAUAGAAAAUGUUAAUCGCAGACAUUCACUUGGUUCCCCUCCCCCAAGGCUGACAGUUAUAGUCUAGAAGCUGAAAUGCAAAAAAAAAUACAGCAGCUGCUCAAUAAUAGAGCUUUGAGGGGCAGGGGAUGGACGUGACUAGCAUCUGCAAUUUUCAGAAAGCGAGUUAAUAUUUUGAGUUUAUGUUCAAUGUACUCUGAAGGCUCCUCUGCAUUCAUUUGCACUGCUACUGCCAGUAGAAGCCUCAUAUGCACACACACACUCCACCCCCCCCCUAUCAGGCUUGCUGCAGUGAAGUCACUUCUGCCGCAUGAUCACAUGACUGCUGGGGUGAUCAGUGAGCAUCCCACACGUCUUACCACAUCCUUGGAACAAGGACUGGCAUUAUUUAUUUAUUACUCUGAAAUACUGCAAUGCUUUGAUUAUCUGUUCAACAUCUGAUGUUCAUUUUUUACUUCGUUCCUGACUAGCAGUUGAUUAUACUGCCCAACAACAGCUUAUACUCAGUAGGAAUGGAGCAGGUGGACACAUAAGCACCCCGUGGCCUAGAUCUGAGUGAAGAUGGACUGGAGAGUCAGUAAUAGAUUCUUUGUGUGUUAAUCUGGAAGACUGACAAGUCUGUCUCCUUGGCAACCAUGCUACUGCAACUCUUUUUGUGACAGUGACACAUUGUAUCCGAAUUGCAUUGUGAAUAAAAAAGCUGUGUAUUGUAUUUUUUUAAAAUCC